rnacentral:rRNA from 1 species
GACGAACGCUGGCGGCGUGCUUAACACAUGCAAGUCGAACGGAAAGGCCCUGCUUUUGUGGGGUGCUCGAGUGGCGAACGGGUGAGUAACACGUGAGUAACCUGCCCUUGACUUUGGGAUAACUUCAGGUAACUGGGGCUAAUACCGGAUAGGAGCUCCUGCUGCAUGGUGGGGGUUGGAAAGUUUCGGCGGUUGGGGAUGGACUCGCGGCUUAUCAGCUUGUUGGUGGGGUAGUGGCUUACCAAGGCUUUGACGGGUAGCCGGCCUGAGAGGGUGACCGGCCACAUUGGGACUGAGAUACGGCCCAGACUCCUACGGGAGGCAGCAGUGGGGAAUAGUGCACAAUGGGCGGAAGCCUGAUGCAGCAACGCCGCGUGCGGGAUGACGGCCUUCGGGUUGUAAACCGCUUUCGCCUGUGACGAAGCGUGAGUGACGGUAAUGGGUAAAGAAGCACCGGCUAACUACGUG